GCGAUGAAGCGGGAGAUUGCCGCCCGAAAGGCGGGUAACUUCCGUGGAGUAUGUCCGAUAACCGGGCGACA
rnacentral:ncRNA from 1 species